UAAUUCUCCUUGGGCUCCUGUGCUCCUGAGCCAGGUUUCCAAAGGUAGAGACUGUUCCAUCUGAGGUCACAAUGGCCCAUCAGGUGUGGGGAGUCAAGACAGGGGAGGACACCUGCAGAGACAUCUGGGCUUCUGAUUUGCCAGGUAUCACAUACCUGAGACAGUUGUCCAUAUAGGGAAAGAGUCCCCAGCAUUUCUGGUUACACCAUGACAGAUGCCUAUGGAUGCCAUAGCCCUGGGAUAUGGGAUUUAAUGGAGAAAGCUCAGCUGUGAAAACCACAGGACACCUGCAUUUGCAUCUGGUUCAGCAAGUUUAUGAUACAAAACCUUGCAGAGCAGGACCAGCCAUUCCUGAAAGAAGACCCUCCAGCACUCAAUGAAAAAGGACCCUCUUUAUCCAUGGAACCCCCCUCCCCUUUGUUCUGCAGCAAGCACACACCAAGCCACAAAGUCCCAGGUUGCAGCUUCUACUCGAUAUCCAAAUGCAACACAGGCACAAGCCUAUUUCCUGAAAUGUAUCAGUGCUGAUAUAUCGUACAUACAGAUGGAGGAUUUAGGUUUCAGAAAGAGAAGGUGAAAUGUUUGUGGAGCCAACAGGAGUCACGAAUGGAUGAUUUUGGUGGUAAAAAUGCCCAUAUUUUGGGUUGAAAAUUUGAUAAAUAAACAAGAACUAUUAAAUUGCUCAAAA